rnacentral:sRNA from 1 species
ACUGUAGGCAUGCACCACUGAAGCCAGCUCAUGUUUCAUUUUUUAAAUCCUGACUUUUAAAAAAAUAUUUACCAGAAGCCCAAACCUCACCAUAAUCCUGAUUUUUUUUCUCAUUUUUCUUAAUUAUGUUUGCCAGUGUUUGUCUAUUUUAUUAGUCUUUGCAUAGACCAUCUAUUACGUUGCUCUGAAUUUCUCAUUAAGGUGUGUAACUUUUACUCCUUGUGUAAUCAGCAGAUACCUGACAUUCUCUAUUUCUCCUUCUAGAAAUGUGAUACCUCAAAGCACAAAGUGCUGGUAGUGUCUGUGUGUCCUCAAUCUUUGCCUUAUUUUGCUGCUAAAUUCAACCUCAGUGUAACUGAUGCAUCCAGAAGACUCUGUGGUUUCCUCAAAAGUCUUGGGGUGCACUAUGUAUUUGACACGACAAUAGCUGCAGAUUUUAGUAUCCUGGAGAGUCAAAAAGAAUUCGUGCGUCGCUAUCGCCAGCACAGUGAGGAGGAACGCACCCUGCCCAUGCUGACCUCUGCCUGUCCUGGCUGGGUCCGAUACGCCGAGCGGGUGCU